AUUGAACGCUGGCGGCAUGCCUUACACAUGCAAGUCGAACGGUAACGCGGGGCAACCUGGCGACGAGUGGCGAACGGGUGAGUAAUGCAUCGGAACGUGCCCAGUAGUGGGGGAUAGCCCGGCGAAAGCCGGAUUAAUACCGCAUACGACCUACGGGUGAAAGCGGGGGAUCGCAAGACCUCGCGCUAUUGGAGCGGCCGAUGUCAGAUUAGGUAGUUGGUGAGGUAAAGGCUCACCAAGCCUUUGAUCUGUAGCUGGUCUGAGAGGACGACCAGCCACACUGGGACUGAGACACGGCCCAGACUCCUACGGGAGGCAGCAGUGGGGAAUUUUGGACAAUGGGCGCAAGCCUGAUCCAGCCAUGCCGCGUGCGGGAAGAAGGCC
rnacentral:rRNA from 1 species